AUGCCUUUCUCUUUAGUUCGAAUUUCUCUUCAGAGCAACCAAAGCAGAUAGCUCAAAAUCUCAAGAUGUCUUCUUCUGCAUCAUUCACUUAUUCUCUCUUCAGCCCCCUCAGGUCCCCAAGGAAGUCACUAAUUAACAGGAACCAUCAGUUUCUUACUAGAUACAACGCAUGUCGUCCCCAGCUUUGUAAUAAGAAUGAGUUAUCAUCAAACCCCUCUUAUAAAUUUGCUUCUCUUUAUGCACUUCAAUUAAUUUAUUACACACAGCCGCCACAACCGCCGCUAUACCUGUAACAGCAAUGCCUUCUCCUCAGUGUCCAAGGAUUUCUCAGCUCACAAGGCUGGUUCCUCGUCAAAAAGGCUUUGAUAUUGUGAUUCGAAAGUUGACUGAUAUAGUGGAGAAGCACUACCCUGAUGCAUUAUUGAUGGAGCAAAGUCCUAUAAGGAUGCGAGCUCUGAUUGGAUGCAAAUGCAUCUACGAAUUUACAGGAGAUGUUAUUUCAGGAUCUCUUGCCCUAACAAUAUUAAUAUCAUUCAUGGUGCGCCCUGAUCUG